CUCACCUGCGUCUCCAGCACCGCCCCGUUGAGCUCACUGCACCACUCCUCCCCUGCAGCCGCGCCCGGGACCACACCUCCGCCACAGUCUUUCUCCUGGAGAAGAAAAACAAUCAGGACUAAAAGACAGAAGGAAGAAAGUGAAAGUGACUGUGCGAGGCGUUGAAGUCAUGAAGUCAAGUGGAGGCCGCUGACUGCUGUUACUUUCUGCUGUACAGGUUCAACAGGGACUCACAGUCAGCCUGCUAGAACAUUUGGAUGAAGAGAAAAAGGAGGAAAAAGACUUUGAGGGACAAAUCCAAUAAGAUCAGCAUGUUUUGAAUGUGGGAAUACAACAGUUUCCUCCACCAUGACACACACUGGAGCCUCUUUUUGCUCACAGCUUCACUGUUUGUCUCAAAGUUCAGUUUGGAGGCCAAAAUUGUUGCAACACAUUUGUAAGUUUGCACUAAUUUCACUGUGUGACCCUUAAUGGAUGUAAUGAAAGAAUCAGUCAGUGAAAUAUGAAGCUGUGCUG